AUUGAAAGCUGGCGGCAGGCUUAACACAUGCAAGUCGAGCGAGCGGCGGACGGGUGAGUAAUGUCUGGGAAACUGCCUGAUGGAGGGGGAUAACUCCUGGAAACGGUAGCUAAUCCCGCAUAACAUCAGAUGUGCCCAGAUGGGAUUAUCGAGUAGGUGGGGUAAUGGCUCACCUAGGCGACGAUCCCUAUCUGGUCUGAGAGGAUGACCAGCCACCGUGGAACUUAGACACGGUCCAGACUCCUACGCGAGGCAGCAGUGGGGAAUAUGGCACAAUGGUCGCAAGUCUGCUGCAGCCAUGCCGCGAGUGUGAAGAAGGCCUUCGGGUUGUAAAGAACUUUCAGCGAGGAGGCGUUACUCGCAGAAGAAGCACAGGCUAACUCCGUGCCAGCAGCCGCGGUAAUAC
rnacentral:rRNA from 1 species